GAUGAACGCUGGCGGCGUGCCUAAUACAUGCAAGUCGAGCGAACAGAUAAGGUGCUUGUUCCUUUGGCGUUAGCGGCGGACGGGUGAGUAACACGUGGGUAACCUAUCUAUAAGACUGGGAUAACUCCGGGAAACCAGGGCUAAUACCGCAUAACAUGUUGAAACACAUGGUUCUAGAGUGAAAGGCGGCUUUGCUGUACCUUAUAGAUAGACCCGCGCCGAUUAGGCUAGUUGGUGAGGUAACGGCUAACCAAGGCAACGAACCGUAGCCGACGUGAAGGGGUGAUCGCCCACACUGGAACGGAGACAGGGCCAAGACUCCUAGGGGAGGCAGCGGAGGGGAAUCUUCCGCAAUGGGCGAAAGCCUGACGGAGCAACGCCGGGUGAGUGAUGAAGGUCUUCGGAUCGUAAAACUCGUUUAUAAGGGAAGAACAAAUGCGUAAGGAACUGUGCGCGUCUUGACGGUACCUAAUCAGAAAGCCACGGCUAACUACGUG
rnacentral:rRNA from 1 species